GUGGGGAAUCUUCCGCAAUGGACGAAAGUCUGACGGAGCAACGCCGCGUGAGUGAUGAAGGUCUUCGGAUUGUAAAGCUCUGUUAAUCGGGACGAAAGAGCCUAGUGUGAAUAAUGCUAGGAAGUGACGGUACCGGAAUAGAAAGCCACGGCUAACUACGUGCCAGCAGCCGCGGUAAUACGUAGGUGGCAAGCGUUGUCCGGAAUUAUUGGGCGUAAAGCGCGCGCAGGCGGAUCUGCCAGUCUGUCUUAAAAGUUCGGGGCUUAACCCCGUGAUGGGAUGGAAACUACAGAUCUAGAGUAUCGGAGAGGAAAGUGGAAUUCCUAGUGUAGCGGUGAAAUGCGUAGAUACUAGGAAGAACACCAGUGGCGAAGGCGACUUUCUGGACGAAAACUGACGCUGAGGCGCGAAAGCCAGGGGAGCAAACAGGAUUAGAAACCCCUGUAGUCC
rnacentral:rRNA from 1 species